UAGUAUCUUCAGGGCAGGGUGUAAUUCCCGACCGGCGGUUAAAGUCCGCGAGCUUUAUUUUUAUAUGGCUGAUUUGGUGAAACUCCAAAACCGACAGUAAAGUCUGGAUGAGAGAAGGUAUAG
rnacentral:ncRNA from 16 species